rnacentral:rRNA from 2 species
UGGCUCAGAACGAACGCUGGCGGCAGGCCUAACACAUGCAAGUCGAGCGCCGUAGCAAUACGGAGCGGCAGACGGGAGAGUAACACGUGGGAACGUACCCUGUGGUUCGGAAUAACUCAGGGAAACUUGAGCUAAUACCGGAUACGUCCGUAAGGAGAAAGAUUUAUCGCCGAGGGAUCGGCCCGCGUCGGAUUAGGUAGUUGGUGGGGUAACGGCCUACCAAGCCGGGGAUCCGUAGCUGGUCUGAGAGGAUGAUCAGCCACACUGGGACUGAGAUACGGCCCAGGAACCUACGGGAGGCA